UACGAAGGGGGGCUAGCGUUGCUCGGAAUCACUGGGCGUAAAGGGUGCGUAGGCGGGUCUUUAAGUCAGGGGUGAAAUCCUGGAGCUCAACUCCAGAACUGCCUUUGAUACUGAGAUCUUGAGUUCCGGGAGAGGUGAGUGGAACUGCGAGUGUAGAGGUGAAAUUCGUAGAUAUUCGCAAGAACACCAGUGGCGAAGGCGGCUCACUGGCCCGGUACUGACGCUGAGGUGCGAAAGCGUGGGGAGCAAACAGG
rnacentral:rRNA from 1 species